rnacentral:rRNA from 1 species
UGAGGAAUAUUGGUCAAUGGGCGAGAGCCUGAACCAGCCAAGUAGCGUGCAGGAUGACGGCCCUAUGGGUUGUAAACUGCUUUUAUAUGGGAAUAAAGUGAGGGACGUAUCCCUUAUUGCAUGUACCAUACGAAUAAGGACCGGCUAAUUCCGUGCCAGCAGCCGCGGUAAUACGGAAGGUCCAGGCGUUAUCCGGAUUUAUUGGGUUUAAAGGGAGCGUAGGCUGUUUGUUAAGCGUGUUGUGAAAUGUAAGAGCUCAACUUUUAGAUUGCAGCGCGAACUGGCAGACUUGAGUGCGCACAACGUAGGCGGAAUUCAUGGUGUAGCGGUGAAAUGCUUAGAUAUCAUGACGAACUCCGAUUGCGAAGGCAGCUUACGGGAGCGCAACUGACGCUAAAGCUCGAAGGUGCGGGUAUCGAACAGG